rnacentral:rRNA from 1 species
AACUCAAAGAAAUUGACGGGGGCCCGCACAAGCGGCGGAGCAUGCGGAUUAAUUCGAUGCAACGCGAAGAACCUUACCUGGGCUUGACAUGUUCCCGACCGCUCCAGAGAUGGGGCUUCCCUUCGGGGCGGGUUCACAGGUGGUGCAUGGUCGUCGUCAGCUCGUGUCGUGAGAUGUUGGGUUAAGUCCCGCAACGAGCGCAACCCUCGCCCUGUGUUGCCAGCGCGUCAUGGCGGGAACUCACGGGGGACCGCCGGGGUCAACUCGGAGGAAGGUGGGGAUGACGUCAGAUCAUCAUGCCCCUUACGUCCAGGGCUUCACGCAUGCUACAAUGGCCGGUACAACGGGAUGCGACAUGGCGACAUGGAGCGGAUCCCUGAAAACCGGUCUCAGUUCGGAUUGGAGUCUGCAACCCGACUCCAUGAAGGCGGAGUCGCUAGUAAUCGCGGAUCAGCAACGCCGCGGUGAAUGCGUUCCCGGGCCUUGUACACACCGCCCGUCAAGUCAUGAAAGUGGGUAGCACCCGAAGCCGGUGGCCUAACCCCUUGUGGGAUGGAGCCGUCUAAGGUGAGACUCGUGAUUGGGACUAAGUCGUAACAAGGUAGCCGUACCGGAAGGUGCGGCUGGAUCACCUCCUUU